ACUUUCAAUCACCCUCUCAAUAAAUUAUCAUCCCCGCGUACAGGACAUCACGUGCUCUCUGUGUACAGCAGACGAGCAAGGAUCGUUAGCCCCAUCAGAUGUUUUCAAAUGGUGGUACAAUAUCCGGCUGUUAUGAUAUUGCAAUUGACAUGACCGACGAAGGCCAGAAAAAAAUCCGGCCAAUUAAAGGAACUGACGAACCGUGAGCAGGGACGGACACAACAUGUCAAGAUUUAGAACUUGACACCACCUUCAUAUAAACCUGCAAUACCACAGACCAUGCGCUAUAUACAUUCACAUGUCCAUGAGGACGUUAGGUAGUUGGGGCCUGGGGGCGUGUAUUAUUUGCAAGAGAAUGAAGAGGAUGCAAAGAUAUUAUCAUUAUUGAGCCCAAUUGUGCUGCAGAAAGAUCUCUCAACUUCGUUUUCAAGAAAUGUGAUUACAAUC